UACGUAGGGUGCAAGCGUUGUUCGGAAUUACUGGGCGUAAAGCGUGUGUAGGUGGCUCGUUAAGUCUGGUGUGAAAGCCCUGAGCUCAACUCAGGAAUUGCAUCGGAAACUAACAAGCUGGAGUCCGGGAGAGGGUAGUGGAAUUCCUGGUGUAGAGGUGAAAUUCGUAGAUAUCAGGAGGAACACCGGUGGCGAAGGCGGCUACCUGGACCGGUACUGACACUGAGACACGAAAGCGUGGGGAGCAAACAGGAUUAGAUACCCUGGUAGUCCACGCUGUAAACGAUGAGCGCUAGUUGUCACGGGUAUUGACCCCUGUGGUGACGCAGGUAACCCAUUAAGCGCUCCGCCUGGGGAGUACGGUCGCAAGACUAAA
rnacentral:rRNA from 1 species